GAGGUGGGUUGGAUGAGUUGGAGAGUUUGGGAUGAGUUGGAGAGUUUGGCCUGAGGUGGGUGGGAUGAGGUGGAGAGUUUGGGAUGAGGUAAAGAGUUUGGGAUGAGUUGGAGAGUUUGGGAUGAGGUGGGUUGGAUGAGUUGGAGAGUUUGGGAUGAGUUGGAGAGUUUGGCCUGAGGUGGGUGGGAUGAGGUGGGUUGGAUGAGUUGGAGAGUUUGGGAUGAGUUGGAGAGUUUGGCCUGAGGUGGGUGGGAUGAGGUGGAGAGUUUGGGAUGAGGUAAAGAGUUUGGGAUGAGUUGGAGAGUUUGGGAUGAGGUGGAGAGUUUGGGAUCAACUUUUUUUUUUUUU